ACAGCAUCUAAAGGAGCUAGGAAUGCAUGGGAUGCUUAUGGAAUGUGCGAGAACACGGACUUCAUGGCUGAGACAGAGCUGAGAGCAGAGAAAACAGACUCAUAAAAUCCUGGCAGAAUCUUUCCAUUCUAAUAGAGAAAAGAGGAAGGUAUGGAAAAGAGUGAAAUUGGCAUAAAAAAUCCAAUAAAGGGCAACGAGCAGGAAACAACAAAAACAUGGGAAACUGCCGACCUGAGGAAUCGCGCUCUUCUAACUUUACAGCUUCACCUGCCGUGUUUGCUCCUGGAGGACUGAGACUUUUGUCUGAUUCGUCUGCUGCUGUCUUCCCGAUGCCUAGAACACUGCCUGAUGCACGGGAAGUAUUUGUCAGAUACAUCCCAUGGCUUCUAAUGCCAUUUGCAAGGAUGAAAGCUGGGUGUGCCCGGCUGUACGGCAAUACUUCCAAAGGCCUGUAGGACUCCCCAGUGACUGUCCCAUUCACCAGGAGGAGGACUGCAGUCACCUGCAUUGUCCUGGGAAGGUCAGCCAGGCCUUUUCCCAAUGUCUGUCUGGGAAAAGCCCCGGUGUAGUCUGCUCGGUCCUACACCCAGAAUCACGGGGGCUUCAGGAGCAGGCAUUACGAGGCAAGGAGUAGCUUCUCCCCCUCACCUCCCACUCAGCAGAACGCACUAGCCCUGUGCUCUUCUGAUCCUGAAGGCAGCUGAGUCUGAAAAGUUCCUGUACCUUUAAAGGUACUAGAGGCAGUGUGGUGCCCACUCAGGAACUGCAUGAUUUAAAUAGGUUUCUAGGAUAAAGGCAACUCGUAGCACAAAGGAACAAGUCCCAGGGAGUGGCAUUCCAGAUCAUUUGAUUCCUGAGCGAAGGAAUUAUUAUGGUGUGGAGGUGGGGACCUCCUUACUACAUUCCAAAUUGCAAUAAGGUUGUAAGGGUUUUCUCUUCCAUUCUGAAGUACUUUGACAAUAGUUUUGAACUUCAAAAAUGUUUAUUAAAGGUGUUUUCACAGCAGUUUCAUAAUGUUUAAUUUGUUAAUUACUGGAAUUGAUGCUAAAUAAAACAGGCAAGUAAUACUUCAGAUGGCUUCAUCUUCAGAGUCUUCUUCAUGUGUGACUCAAAAUGCACAAUUUUGGCCGGGCACAGUGGCUCACGCCUGUAAUCCCAGCACUUUGGGAGGCUGAGACAGGCGGAUCACCUGAGGUCAGGAGUUUGAGACCAGUUUGGCCAACAUGGUGAAACCCCAUCUCUACUAAAAAUACAAAAAUUAGAUGGGCAUGGUGGUGUGUGCCUGUAAUCCCAGCUGCUUGGGAAGCUGAGGCAGGAGAAUUGAUUGAACCCAAGAGGCGGGGCUUGCAGUGAGCCGAGAUCCCGCUCCAGCCUGGGCAACAAGAGCGAGACUCCGUCUCAAAAAAAGAAAAAAAAAGCACAAUUUCAGGACAGCCUAAGCAAAUAAAAAAUGGGAAAUGGAAAUGGAUUCGAAGCAGGGAGGACGUUCCGCCCACUGUCACACCGAAGGAAUGGUGGAGGCUGUGAGUCCUCCGCCCACUGUCACACCGAAGGAUGGUGGAGGCUGUGAGUCCUCCUGUAAGCCGCCGCUGGAGAAGGGGCAGCUCUGGAACCUGACGACAUUCUCCUAUCUUGCAUGAGGUGGAGACAAAGAGUCCUUCUGCGCUGGGACAGGAUGAGGGCGAAGUGGUGACUUCAGGUCAGAAGCAGAGCCUUGGGGACCUCUGAUUCUCAAGGGCGAGCUCCCUCCAGAACCCCAAGAGAUGGCCCUGACUGCAUGGGAAAGCGUGUCUCACCAUUGCAAUGUUCUCUAAGUCUGGAGGAGGCGGAGCCCAGUGAGAAUGACAGGCAGACCGCAAGGAGGCCCGGAAGCCCCCCAUGGCGAGGAUGCAUCCAAGUGUAUUCUGUAGGAGUGACCAGUGGCCACGUGGGUAGUGGGCAGAGCUUGUUUUCCUCCAAUAUCAGCGUACAGAGCAGGGGAGCCUGGUGAAGGUUUCUCUCUGAAAUCAUGGAUUCAGCUGUAUUAGUUUCUAUCCAAGGCUGGCAUAGCUCACCUUCCACUCCAGCAAUGACCUCGGGCCAGCUGUCACGAGCCUUCUCACCACGAGGAUGGUCUGGGGUGGUGAGAUCUCACUGUUGGCCAUAAUUCAUUCAACAUUUCUUCACUUCUCUGCUUGUAAGUUUUCAUUUCCUCUGCAGCUGGUAGCUUCUGUCAUUUCUUUUCCUAUUUAUACCAGUCCUGAAUCAGCUUCUUUUUCAGAACCAUGCAUUUCUCUCGGUAGAGGUCG
rnacentral:lncRNA from 1 species